rnacentral:rRNA from 1 species
AAAACGACUCUCGGCAACGGAUAUCUCGGCUCUCGCAUCGAUGAAGAACGUAGCGAAAUGCGAUACUUGGUGUGAAUUGCAGAAUCCCGUGAACCAUCGAGUCUUUGAACGCGAGUUGCGCCCGAAGCCAUUAGGCCGAGGGCACGCCUGCCUGGGUGUCGCGC